rnacentral:rRNA from 1 species
GCGCGAAAACUUUACACUACACGAAAGUGUGAUAAGGGAAUCCCAAGUGCUAAUACAUUCGUAUUGGCUUUUGCCAAGUGUAAAUAACUUGGCGAAUAAGUGGUGGGUAAGACGGGUGCCAGCAGCCGCGGUAACACCCGCGCCACAAGUGGUGAUCAGAAUUAUUGGGCCUAAAGCGUCCGUAGCCGGCUUUGUAAAUUCUUUGUGAAAUCGUUGCGCUCAACGUAACGGCGUGCAAGGAACACUGCAGAGCUAGAAACCAGGAGGGGCAAGAGGUAUUCUGUGGGGAGCGGUAAAAUGCUAUAAUCCACGGAGGACCACCGAUGGCGAAGGCAUCUUGCCAGAAUGGAUUUGACGGUGAGGGACGAAAGCCAGAGGAGCAAACCGG